rnacentral:rRNA from 1 species
UGCAGUCGAACGGCAGCAUGAUCUAGCUUGCUAGAUUGAUGGCGAGUGGCGAACGGGUGAGUAAUACAUCGGAACGUGCCCUGUAGUGGGGGAUAACUAGUCGAAAGAUUAGCUAAUACCGCAUACGACCUGAGGGUGAAAGUGGGGGACCGCAAGGCCUCAUGCUAUAGGAGCGGCCGAUGUCUGAUUAGCUAGUUGGUGAGGUAAAGGCUCACCAAGGCGACGAUCAGUAGCUGGUCUGAGAGGACGAUCAGCCACACUGGGACUGAGACACGGCCCAGACUCCUACGGGAGGCAGCAGUGGGGAAUUUUGGACAAUGGGGGCAACCCUGAUCCAGCAAUGCCGCGUGUGUGAAGAAGGCCUUCGGGUUGUAAAGCACUUUUGUCCGGAAAGAAAUCGCACUUACUAAUAUUAGGUGUGGAUGACGGUACCGGAAGAAUAAGGACCGGCUAACUACGUGCCAGCAGCCGCGGUAAUACGUAGGGUCCAAGCGUUAAUCGGAAUUACUGGGCGUAAAGCGUGCGCAGGCGGUUGUGCAAGACCGAUGUGAAAUCCCCGGGCUUAACCUGGGAAUUGCAUUGGUGACUGCACGGCUAGAGUGUGUCAGAGGGGGGUAGAAUUCCACGUGUAGCAGUGAAAUGCGUAGAGAUGUGGAGGAAUACCGAUGGCGAAGGCAGCCCCCUGGGAUAACACUGACGCUCAUGCACGAAAGCGUGGGGAGCAAACAGGAUUAGAUACCCUGGUAGUCCACGCCCUAAACGAUGUCAACUAGUUGUUGGGGAUUCAUUUCCUUAGUAACGUAGCUAACGCGUGAAGUUGACCGCCUGGGGAGUACGGUCGCAAGAUUAAAACUCAAAGGAAUUGACGGGGACCCGCACAAGCGGUGGAUGAUGGUGGAUUAAUUCGAUGCAACGCGAAAAACCUUACCUACCCUUGACAUGCCACUAACGAAGCAGAGAUGCAUUAGGUGCUCGAAAGAGAAAGUGGACACAGGUGCUGCAUGGCUGUCGUCAGCUCGUGUCGUGAAAAUGUUUGGGUUAAGUCCCGCAACGAGCGCAACCCUUGUCUCUAGUUGCUACGAA